UUGAGCUCAACAAAGUAUUUGUUUAUUUAUUCGGAAAACAAAGAAACAAACGAACACACACACACAAAAACACCAAAAAACAGCAGUUGUGGAGGACGGUUAACAGUGAAAGCACUGAGUUGUUACCUUCUCAGCGUAAUCCUUGCCAGCACUCAGUUGGCAGAUUCUUCCAGAUGUGUCGUACCUAAUGCUGGGAAUAAUCUUGCAAGAUUUAGAGCUUUACACUAAAACUGUCCUGUCUGUAGAAAAACUCAAAAGGAAGAAUUGUGCUAAAUCCUAUUUUCACUUCACAAUAUUCCUGAGGUGAAAAUACAUUUUUGCAGAAGUAAUGUGCUUAUUUUGACAUUGUGACUAAUGUCUUACACUGCAUGACUGAAACAUUAGAGGAAGGCCAUACCAAGUAGAUGUGACAAACACUAGACCAAAGACACAUUACUUUAAAACUUCCUUUUUUAGGGUAUUUUGUUUUGUUUUUCAUACAUUCUUUAAGUUUCCAACAACAAGAUGUACUUUUAUCUCUCAACAGCUCUGUGGUAAGGUGUUUAUAUUGCCAUCUAGAGUAGGAAAAGCCCUUACACUGGACUUGUCAGGAAUGCAAGGAAAAGAGGUGAUUUUCUCUUAUUUCUUCUUGUUCCAUAAGCCCACUUACUAAGAUCUAGUGACACACUUUGUAAUUCCUAGUCAGGUAUUCAGAAUAGCAACAUGUGUAUAAGUUAAAUAUAAUUUGUGAAAUAUAUGCCAUAUUUGAUAAAAAAAUGCAUGUAGUCAUAAUCAUAUGAUGACUUAAUUUGCAUAGAUGUAAAACCUGAAUUUAUUAUACACAACCUAUAUUUGUAAAAGUAGACAGUCACCUGGAUUCUCUGUACUGGUUUAAUCUGGCAGUCCCUCACUAGAGGCAACAGAAUUUUUAAAAGCAGCCAAGACAAACCAGACACCAAGGGAAGGAGCAGACAAUAUGCAGGAAAAAUGUGGAUAGCACAAAUAUUAAUACAACUCCUUCAGUCCUUUCCAAAAUGAGAGUUUCAGAUUGACAGAAGGUGGAGAGGGCAAUUAGGCAACAGAGAAGUGAGUCUGACAUUGCUGACGCAUCUGUCACAAGCUGAUCUCUUCUGUGAAGCAGAAGUUUUAAGGGGAAAUCUACAGGAUGCAAUUCACUUUUUCAGGUAAUCACAAGAUCUUCUGCAGCAGAGAUGUGGAGCGGAAAGUAGUUACCAUCUUGAAGAGAAGCUGAAUGGAUUGAGGUACUGUGCAGCAUCAGGGCCUGGAAACAAGCAACCCCAGUGAGUGGCUGGAAGAAACUCAAGCCAGUUUGCAGAAAGACAGAUGAAUCUGUUAUAUUGUUGGCAUGAUAUCCUUUUGAAUGAACAGAUUUUUUAGGAGAGACACAGGUAGUGAGGUGACACAGGCCUAAGUUCAGGAGGUUGGUGUCUAGCCAACAGAUAGUAAGUAAGAUAAUCAAAAGACUGCAGAAAUGCACUGAAAGGAGCAGCUGUGUUCAGAAAAAGUCAUCUGAGUCUUUUCCACAGAGCCACCACUAAGAUCAGACAUCAGAUAAAGUUAUGAUACAGCUGAUAACGGCCAUUUGCAUUUAAAAUAUGCGUAGGACACUCCAGCCUGAUUGUAUUUUUUUACUGACAUCUUCAACUACAACCAAUUAUAGUAAUACUGGUUGGAGCACAGUUGCUGAAACCAAGUCUUAACAUGUCAUUAGGCAGCUGGACAGCGAUGGGCAGACCCUGCUAGUGAGCAGUCUUCUUGCUCUGUUUCACAGGUAAUAGCACAUGAGCACAUUACAGAAGUCAGGCUGCUGUUCUUAUAGGUUAAAACGUUAUCUUCAGUUUCUGAUGUGCUUAGCUUAAAUCAUGAAGAAAGCAAAAAAUCAUGAGAAAUGCUAGAUAGCAUGCAACGGUUUUCAGUGCUAUAGCUAUAGCUGCACACUUUGAGACGGAAACAAGUCAUACUUCAUAAAGUUCGUAUUUCUUGGGAUCGAUGCAAGCAUCUGAGCAUUAUGAAGAGUUCUGUUGAUCAUUUGUGAUGAACAGCAGAAGAGGACCCUCUCUUUUAAUCAUGGGUCAACAUAACUCUUACAUAUACACACAUUUAUGCAGUUUUUCUUCUGAAUAUUGACCAUUUCAAGUUCCAGCUAACAUCAGAUAAGAAGAAAAAAAAACGCAUGUAUUUAUUUGGUUCCAGGAUCUAUGAGGAAGCUUCUAACCCCACCCUACUCCACUCCCCAGCUCUACCCUCUGCUCAUGUCUAAACAUAUUUACAUGUCUGAAAGGAACUGGAAAGUAUCUGUAAUGUUUCCCAGAGGAUCCGAUAGCUCUUCUCACACAAAAGCUUAUUUCCAAAUCAUUAUGCCACAGUAGCAUUUCAGUAAGGGGCACCUCAGGAAAGGCUUCUGACGGUUUCAGUCUGCAGAUUCAACAGUUUCAUUACCUCACCUGAAAGAUAAACAUUUGGACAGAGAUAGCUUCAAUUAAUAUUGUCCUUCACUUGAAUAGGUGAUAGAUCUGCAGUCCAUAUAAGACAGAUCAUCAAUAAGAUAGUCUUAGGCUAAAUAUACUUUUACCACCAUUCAAAGUCCAUAAAGCUCAGGAGCACCAUGUGGAUUUCUAAUGCUCCUUCGCAGGCUUUAAAUCCACCAAAUCAUGAGUGAAUUAUUGUGAUUCAUAUGCCACUUUUAUUUUUGGCAGGCAAUGUUGAUAGUAUUGGAGAAAGAUUAUUUGAGUGAGAUCUGCAUCCACUUUCCUCAAAUCAGGACUCUGAAAAAAACCUCAGAAAGGAGCUGUCAGCAUAAAUACAUACAAAUAUAUAUAAACACAUAUUCUCUAUGGGUUUUGAUGAUACAAUUCCAGACAUGAAGGAUGAGCAGGAUGAGCAGGACUUUCUUUAGUUCCUGUAGAAGGUUGGGCAAGCAAACAUCUGGGAAUGGACACUGAGGAAGAGGAAAUAUCUACGUGUCAGUAAUAUGAAAGUUAUAUUGUACACCUGCUUUUUAGACAUGCCAUCUGUGCUCAGUCAUACCAUAAUAUAGCUUUGAUGACAUGCCACAGCUAAAGGGCCGGCAGUAUACUUCUUGCUUCAUUGACAUGAGUGACACAACACUGCAAGACUCACUGCUUAAUGAUAUAAAUCAUAACUCUCACAGUAUAUGGCUGUCCCACAUGUUUUUCAGUGCUUAAACCCACACUAAGUAUUUUGCUACUGAAAGCACUGAAGGAGAAUUACGGUGGAAACUGAUGCACGCCAGGUAAGCAAUAGCACCUUAUCUGUACUAGUGCUGAACUUCUCAUUAUAUUGUGCUGGCCUACAACUACACCGUAACAUCCAAUGGAUACUGUUUACAAUAACCUAAUAACAAGCAAUUCUGUUCCCAUUACUGCUCACAAUCUCACAGUAAAUGUUUCUUGUUUCCACAGUAAGCUGACUGCAACUGAAAGGUUCCACCUUUGUCUUUGUCAAAAGUCGAAUAAAUCUUGUAUUUAGAAAAGGAAACGUGAUAUAUAUUAAACCUCCCCCCCCCCUCCCCCCCCCAAAAAAAAGAAAGGCAUGCAAUUUGACUAGUAUACAAAGUCAAUGGAAAAUAAGGUUUAUACUACAUUCCUUUCUUUAAAAACAUUUUCCACAGUGUGCUUCACAAUCUUUAAGAGGAAGCAUGGUCUAAAUACAGAAUUCAGUUCCAGUGCUGGACAUACUCUUCAAUCCAUGUGUGGCCUCAGGCAAAUGUGUUAAUUUUUCUGUUUCAGUUUCCGUGCCUUUAAAGUGGGGAUAACACAACGAAUCCAAACAGCUUAGUUGCAAUUUAUACGAAUGAGUAACUUGAUUAUUAGAUUUCUGAGACAUGAAACAUGAUUAUUAUUAAGAUUCACUGACCAGCCAGACAGGGGUGUGAUACAAAUAAAGGAGAUGGGUCUUGGACAACAGGAGCAUGCUGGUUAGGCAGACAGAAGAGCUCAGCGAGGAGGCAGCGGAGAGUUGUGACUGUAAAAGUGUGAACAUCCCCCUUGCACUGACUUUCUAUUUAUUGCCCCGUGGUACCUAGAGACCAUGAAAAGCCAAGUCUUCUCUGAGAAGCGAAUAGGUCCAAAGCGCUACAGCAGACCAGCUACAGGCAAAUAAAUUUUUAUCUGUGUAAGAGAGCUAGAUGUUAUUUUCCAGUGGAAAUGUCAGAAUUGAUUAAAGCCUGAGCAUUUCUAUUUAAAAUGAGAGCAGUGUUUGAUACAUUUUAAAGGGAGAAAAAGCGAGAGACCUGACAGCAUGGAGAUAAUGGGGAGGAUUCAUCUGUGGGCUUGCUGCGGUAAAGUGGUAUUCAGCACACCAGGGCCAAAUUCACCUCUCCAUACAUAGCAUAAAUGGGAGUGCCUUUUAAUAACUAUGAGAAAAUAGUCUCCCUGCUAGCAAAGUCACUAUUAUUAAUUGUUAUUAUUAACCUUUGGGCUUGUGUAUCCUCCACAGAUUAAUGAUUAUUCAAUAACUGUGCUACAAGGUUGCACUUUCUAACACCAAUUAAUAGAAGAGCACAGCUAAGAAAAGCACUGAGGUAUCAACUUCACAGUCUCUGUCUUGAUGCAAAGUUGCCUACAGGAACUGUAUCUGCCAAUUCCCAGAGCAGGAAGAGAAAAUGCACCUCAAAGUCAAAAUAAAGGAAAAGAUAAAAAGAAGGGGAAAAAAAGAAAGAGAGAAAGAGAGAAAGAGAGAGAGAGAGAGAGAGAGAGAGAGAGAGAGAGAGAGAGAAAGAAAGAAAGAAAGAAAGAAAGAAAGAAAGAAAGAAAGAAAGAAAGAAAGAAAGAAAGAAAGAAAGAAAGAAAGAAAGAAAGAAAGAAAGAAAGAAAGAAAGAAAGAAAGAAAGAGAAAGAAAGAAAGAAAGAUGGAGCUGACAUCCACGAUCCCCUCUCUCUUCUCAGUAGGGAAUAAGCAGCAGCCUCAGCUUUCAGGGAAAGCUGCACUUAUUGCCAGCGUUCACUUUCCAGGAACUCCACAUCCAAAUUGUGCAGUGGCAAAGAUGGGAAAGAAGGGCUUAAAAACAAAAGAUAAAAGUCCCUCCCCACGGAGAAGUUCCACGAAUAGAGACAAUUCUCAAACAGCGCUGCUGAGGAGCACAUGGUGCCAG
rnacentral:lncRNA from 1 species